CCGAGCGAGAGCUCCUCGCCGGCGUAGGUGCGUCGCCGGCUUCCCGUCCAUCGACCCCAAGCACCGCAGUGCCUCCCCGAGUCCGUUCUGACGCCGUUCCGAUCCCGAGGACGCCUUCCCCGAUGUCCUCUUCGUCCUCUCCGUCGUCUCCUGCUCGGACAACAAGUCCACCGGAAAUCUUCGCCUCCCCGCUGCCGAUCUUCUGCGCCACCGGCCUCACAUGCUUGACAUAGGUAUACUAGGUAAACCCAUCCUUCCCCCCUGCUCUUUUCAUUUAGCCGAUCGGUCUCCGUAGGAGCGGCCAAGAUCUCGCCGUCGUCGUCUUCCCGGCGCACCGAGGCGAGUUCUGAUUUUUUUUUCUUCAGUUCGGUUGUUCAGAGACACCUCGCGUGCACCUCCCGCUCUGGAUCCUCCUAGACGAGCUCUUCCACGCCUUGCUGCACCCAUGCACGCACUCUCUCACAGUAGCCCGCGCACGUCCUUGCCUUGCCUCACUGCGCCCAGCCUGGCUAUGUCGCUGCUCUGCACUCCGGGCACACGCGCUCGCGCACCCAUCUGUACCUGAGCACACGCACGCCCACACGCGACCCCCGGGGAGAAGCAGCCGCGCGCAUGUCAUCCCGCACCCCCGCCAGUGCCCCUUGGCUCCGGUGGUCGUCGUCGUUGCUCGCAGGAACCGUCGGCGUCUUCUCUGCUGCAGAUGAGAAAGGGGCCCGUACCAGCCUCAAGCCAGCUCAAGAGGAGCCGAGCCCCUACCAAACAAAUACCAUGUCCUAGCUCAGCUGGUCGUUGCUCACGCCCAGCACCAGGGAGAACCGGGUUCGAGUCCCAGGCUCUGCAUAUUUUUGCUGCGGUAUUUUCCUUUUCAUUGUGACACUGACGCGUCGACCCCACCGGACAUACACACCCAGCCACAUGGCCCACGACCCUACCAGUCAGCCUAACGGCUGGGUACAGCCUGGGUGCACCUAGUUUUGCCCUCAUGUCUUCUGUUUUAUCCCAUUUCGGAACAUGCCAGAAUUGGCAUAUGUUGAGGUUUCCAUUUUUAGGCGGUAUUUGUUUUUGCAUAAAUGUGGGGAUUUUUCUGAUGAAACCUAGACAUAGUAUAUAUGUUUUUGGGGUAGAAAAAUCCCACCAAUCCAGUGGUGGCAUUAGUUUCUGCAUUUGAGUAAGUUCAUGAAACAUGUCAUUUUACAUCAUGUUGCUGUUUUGUCUUUUAUGUGUAUACUUAUGCAAAUAUGCUAGGGGGUAGUUUUGCACAUGAACAUGCUAUUCCACAUGCCUAAUACAUGCUAGAUUGUGUUACAUGCCAUGAAAUUCUUUACAUUGAGUUAAACAUGCUAUGAUGAAUCUGUUUUUGGGGUAUUUUCCUUUACAUUGAGUUAAACAUGCUAUGAUGAAUCUGUUUUUGCCAUGUCCUGAAAUUUCACUAAGUCUGAAUCUGUUUAUAAAACUUAAUCAUAUCUUCUGUGCGUUUUUGGCUCAUGAUCAGUAAGGGACUUUUGUUCUAUGCAUUUAGUAGAUUCAUGCCAUGCCUUGUUUUUCUAUGAUAUGUUCUUGUAGCAUGUUGAUUUCUUGCUCUGAACAUUGCUACCUGAUACUGUUUAUGCCAUGUUCAGUAUUUUCACUAAGUCUGUGAAGCUGAUAUCUUUUGCACUUUUGCCAUGCUUGUUUGAACCUGUUAUUGUGUGAUCUAGCCGUAGCUCAGUGUUCAUCUUUUGGCAAGCAUCUAUUUUAGAUCACUGCCAUAUGCUUUGUUGCUAUGUUGGGGUGCUGUAGCAUAGUUUCUUGAUGUAUUCUAAGUGCUAUCAUGCUGUUAAUCGCAUAAUUGUGUCAUUCUUGUUUUGCUUGCCAUUUGCAAACCGUGCACCCGUUUCCGGUGAUCUUUAUAUCGAUUUCAACCGAAAUCAUCUCAUAUUUCCAGCGACAUACUUGGUUUGCCAAGAUGAUGCCUUGUUCAUCCUUUUUCCUCCCGGAGCACGCAUAUGCAUAGCAUAUCACAUCUCGCAUAUCAUGCCAUGUAUUGCAUCAUGUUGCUUGUGCAUUGCACCGUGAUUGAUCGUGGUUCCAUUGCUUGUGUUCUUGCUUUGGGUAGAGCCGGGAGACGAGUUCGUGAACGAGGAACCUGUUGAGUACGCUAACGAGGAUCAAGCUUUCGACAACUCUAAGAACCUUGCAGGCAAGAUGACCAUACCCUCGAAAUCACUUCUAUCUUUGCUUGCUAGUUGUUCGCUCUAUUGCUAUGCUGCACUACCUACCACUUGUUUAUCAUGCCUCCCAUAUUGCCAUGUCAAGCCUCUAACCAUCCUUUCCUAGCAAACCAUUGUUUGGCUAAGUUACCGCUUUGCUCAGCCCCUCUUAUAGUGUUGCUAGUUGCAGGUGAAGAUGAAGUUGGUUCCAUGUUGAAACAUGGAUAUUUUGGGAUAUCACAAUAUCUCUUAUUUAAUUAAUGCAUCUAUAUACUUGGUAAAGGGUGGAAAGCUCGGCCUUAUGCCUGGUGUUUUGUUCCACUCUUGUCGCCCUAGUUUCCGUCAUACCAGUGUUAUGUUCCUUGAUUUUGCGUCCCUUACGCGGUUGGGUGAUUUAUGGGACCCCCUUGACAGUUCGCUUUGAAUAAAACUCCUCCGGCAAGGCCCAACCUUGGUUUUACCAUUUGCCACCUAAGCCUUUUUCCCUCGGGUUUUCGCGAGCCCGAGGGUCAUCUUUAUUUUAAACCCCCGGGCCAGUGCUCCUCUGAGUGUUGGUCCAACCUGUCAGCCGCCGGUGGCCACCAAUGGCAACUCUGGGCUCGCCUAUCGGAAGUUUGGACAAUCCGGUGUGCCCUGAGAACGAGAUAUGUGCAGCUCCUAUCGGGAUUUGUCGGCACAUUCGGGCGGCUUUGCUGGUCUUGUUUUACCAUUGUCGAAAUGUCUUGUAAACCGGGAUUCCGAGACUGAUCGGGUCUUCCCGGGAGAAGGAAUAUCCUUCGUUGACCGUGAGAGCUUAUAAUGGGCUAAGUUGGGACACCCCUGCAGGAUAUUAUCUUUCGAAAGCCGUGCCCAUGGUUAUGAGGCAGAUGGGAUUUUGUUAAUGUCCGGUUGUAGAGAACUUGACACUUGACUUAAUUAAAAUACAUCAACCGCGUGUGUAGCCGUGAUGGUCUCUUUUCGGCAGGGUCCGGGAAGUGAACACGGUUUGUGUUAUGUAUGAACGUAAGUAGUUUCAGGAUCGCUUCUUGAUCACUUCUAGCUUCUCGACCGAUGUGUUGCUUCUCUUCUCGCUCUCAUUUGCGUAUGUUAGCCACCAUAUAUGCUUAGUGCUUGCCGCAGCUCCACCACAUUACCCCUUUCCUACCUACAAGCUUAAAUAGUCUUGAUCUCAUGGGUGUGAGAUUGCUGAGUCCUUGUGACUCACAGAUUCUACCAAAACAGUUGCAGGCGCCGAGGAUACCAGUGCAGAUGACGCAACCGAGCUCAAGUGGGAGUUCGACGAGGACCGUGGUCGUUACUAUGUUUCGUUUCCUAAUGAUCAGUAGUGGAGCCCAGUUGGGACGAUCGGGGAUCUAGCAUUUGGGUUAUCUUCUUUUCAUUUGGAUUUGACCAUAGUCAGUCUAUGUGUGUAUUUUGGAUGAUGUAUGAAUUUAUUUAUGUAUUGUGUGAAGUGGCGAUUGUAAGCCAACUCUCUUUAUCCCAUUCUUGUUCAUUACAUGGGAUUGUGUGAAGAUGACCCUUCUUGCGAUAAUACCUACAAUGCGGUUAUGCCUCUAAGUCGUGCCUCGACACGUGGGAGAUAUAGCCACAUCGUGGGCGUUACAGAUUCCCACCACCGAGGACUGGCGGCGCAGAUGUGUG
rnacentral:lncRNA from 1 species